rnacentral:rRNA from 1 species
UGCAGUCGAGCGAGAAGGUUUCUUCGGAGGUCUUCUAGCGGCGGACGGGUGAGUAACACGUGGGCAACCUGCCUUAAAGAGGGGGAUAGCCUCCCGAAAGGGAGAUUAAUACCGCAUAACAUCGGUUUAUCGCAUGAUGUACCGAUUAAAGGAGUAAUCCGCUUUAAGAUGGGCCCGCGGCGCAUUAGCUAGUUGGUGAGGUAACGGCUCACCAAGGCCACGAUGCGUACCCGACCUGAGAGGGUGAUCGGCCACCUUGGGACUGAGACACGGCCCAGACUCCUACGGGAGGCAGCAGUGGGGAAUAUUGCACAAUGGGGGAAACCCUGAUGCAGCAACGCCGCGUGAGUGAUGAAGGCCUUCGGGUUGUAAAGCUCUGUCUUCCGGGACGAUAAUGACGGUACCUGACGAGGA